GACGAACGCUGGCGGCGUGCCUAAUACAUGCAAGUUGAGCGCUGAAGGUUGGUACUUGUCCCAACUGGCUGAGCAGCGAACGGGUGAGUAACGCGUGGGGAAUCUGCCUUUGAGCGGGGGACAACAUUUGGAAACGAAUGCUAAUACCGCAUAAAAACUUUAAACACAAGUUUUAAGUUUGAAAGAUGCAAUUGCAUCACUCAAAGAUGAUCCCGCGUUGUAUUAGCUAGUUGGUGAGGUAAAGGCUCACCAAGGCGAUGAUACAUAGCCGACCUGAGAGGGGGAUAGGCCACAUUGGGACUGAGACACGGCCCAAACUGCUACGGGAGGCAGCAGUAGGGAAUCGUGGGCAAUGGACGAAAGUCUGACCGAGAAACGCCGCGUGAGGGAAGAAGGUUGUCGGAUCGGAAAACUCUGUUGGUAGAGAAGAACGUUGGUGAGAGUGGAAAGCUCAUCAAGUGACGGUAACUACCCAGAAAGGGACGGCUAACUACGUG
rnacentral:rRNA from 1 species